GUUAGGGAACUGAAAGGGACGACCUUCGGGAGCCGUAUACAGGUGUUGCAUGGCUGUCGUCAGCUCGUGUCGUGAGAUGUUCGGUUAAGUCCGCUAACGAGCGCAACCCUCGCUGUGUGUUACAAGUGUCACACGGUACUGCCGGUCUUAAGCCGGAGGAAGGUGGGGAUGACGUCAAGUCAGCAUGGCCUUUAUGUCCUGGGCUACACACACGCUACAAUGGCCAACACAAUAGGUUGCUAAGCCGCGAGGUGGAGCCAAUCCUCAAAGUUGGUCUCAGUUCAGAUUGCAGGCUGCAACCCGCCUGCAUGAAGAUGGAGUUGCUAGUAACCGCAGGUCAGCUAUACUGCGGUGAAUACGUUCCCGGGGCUU
rnacentral:rRNA from 1 species